rnacentral:piRNA from 1 species
UUGGAAGCAACCUAACGAAAUGAUACCU